GACGAACGCUGGCGGCGUGCCUAAUACAUGCAAGUCGAACGCUGAAGGAGGAGCUUGCUCUUCUGGAUGAGUUGCGAACGGGUGAGUAACGCGUAGGUAACCUGCCUGGUAGCGGGGGAUAACUAUUGGAAACGAUAGCUAAUACCGCAUAAGAGUAGAUGUUGCAUGACAUUUACUUAAAAGGUGCAAUUGCAUCACUACCAGAUGGACCUGCGUUGUAUUAGCUAGUUGGUGGGAUAACGGCUUACCAAGGCGACGAUACAUAGCCGACCUGAGAGGGUGAUCGGCCACACUGGGACUGAGACACGGCCCAGACUCCUACGGGAGGCAGCAGUAGGGAAUCUUCGGCAAUGGACGGAAGUCUGACCGAGCAACGCCGCGUGAGUGAAGAAGGUUUUCGGAUCGUAAAGCUCUGUUGUAAGAGAAGAACGAGUGUGAGAGUGGAAAGUUCACACUGUGACGGUAUCUUACCAGAAAGGGACGGCUAACUACGUG
rnacentral:rRNA from 1 species